AACCCAUGGUGAGGGCACCAUCUCAAUAGAUCCUUGUAUCUCUCCCAUGCAUCAUAGAGUGUCUCUACAUCCAUCUGCAUAAAAGAAGAGAUAUCAUUCCUCAACUU
rfam:Gossypium arboreum cultivar AKA8401 contig_80077_1, whole genome shotgun sequence.